rnacentral:rRNA from 1 species
AUACGGAGGGUGCGAGCGUUAUCCGGAUUUAUCAGGUUUAAAGGGUGUGUAGGCGGGAGCCUAAGUCAGUGGUGAAAUCUCACAGCUUAACUGUGAAACUGCCAUUGAAACUGGGUUUCUUGAGUAUAGUUGAGGUAGGCGGAAUGUGUAAUGUAGCGGUGAAAUGCAUAGAUAUUACACAGAACACCGAUUGCGAAGGCAGCUUACUAAGCUAUUACUGACGCUGAUGCACGAAAGCGUGGGUAGCGAACAGGAUUAGAAACCCCGGUAGUCC